rnacentral:rRNA from 1 species
GACGAACGCUGGCGGCGUGCUUAACACAUGCAAGUCGAACGGAGAGGUCCUGCUUUUGUGCGGUGGUCGAGUGGCGAACGGGUGAGUAACCCGUGGGUUACCUGUACCUGACAUUGGGAUAACUUCAUGCCACUGGGGCUCAUACCGGAUAGGAGCUCCUGCUGCAUGGUGGGCGUUGGAAAGAUUCGGCGGUUGGGGAUGGACUCGCGGCUCAUCAGCUUGAUGGUGAGGUAGUGGCAUAGCAUGGCUUUGACCGGUAGCAGGCCUGAGAGGGUCACCGGUCACAUUAGGACUGAGAUACGGCCCAGACUCCUACGGGAGGCAGCAGUGGGGAAGAUUGCACAAUGGGCGGAAGCCUGAUGCAACAACGCCGCGUGCGGGAUGACGGCCUUCGGGUUGUAAACCGCUUUCGCCUGUGACGAAGCGUGAGUGACGGUAAUGGGUAAAGAAGCACCGGCUAACUACGUG